UACGGGAGGCAGCAGUGGGGAAUAUUGCACAAUGGGCGAAAGCCUGAUGCAGCUACGCCGCGUGUAUGAAGAAGGCCUUAGGGUUGUAAAGUACUUUCAUCGGGGAGGAAAAAACAAAACUAAUAAUUUUAUUUCUUGACGUUACCCGAAAAAGAAGCACCGGCUAACUCCGUGCCAGCAGCCGCGGUAAUACGGAGGGUGCUAGCGUUAAUCAGAAUUACUGGGCGUAAAGAGCACGUAGGUGGUUUUUUUAAAGUCAGAUGUGAAAUCCCUGGGCUUAACCUGGAACUGCAUUUUGAAACUGAAAUACUAGAGUAUCGUAGAGGGAGGUAGAAUUCUAGGUGUAGCGGUGAAAUGCGUAGAUAUCUGGAGGAAUACCUGUGGCGAAAGCGGCCUCCUAAACGAAUACUGACACUGAGGUGCGAAAGCGUGGGGAGCAAACAGGGAUUAGAUACC
rnacentral:rRNA from 1 species